ensembl:snRNA U6 U6 spliceosomal RNA
GUGCUCACUUUGGCAGUACAUAUACAAAAACUGGAAACAAGCCAGAGAAGAUUAGCAUGACCCCUGUGCAAGGAUGACAUCCCAGCUUAUAUCCCACAAUCCAUUUUA